GGGUUUUCGUCUAUCAAAUCUACUAUGCGGUACAACAAGGCUUCCAUGACUGAAAGAAGAAGAUAUUGAGGUGUGUCAUACUGAAUUUACUCUGCCAACAAUCACUCGAGUGAAGGAAUCACAAUCGCAUCACCAUGAUCACCCCACCCCACCAUGCCCACGGCAACUCUCGUCUGAUCUGCCCAGGUAUUCCUGUUUUUGUGGACGCAUGAAGUCGAGAUAAAAGAGAAUAUAGAACAUUUUAUAUCUGCUAAAUGGAGACUUUAGAAAAGGUACAUGUAUAUGGAUGGAGCUGACAGAUGCUCUAAAGGCCAGUUUAUUAUAUGGUGUACCACUGCAGUCCUCUCACACGGUGUCCUAGCUUAUGGAUCAUCCGCUUACAUUAAGUGAGUCAGAACAUAAUAUCAGCAAUGAGCGGGUAGACCAUUUGAACCAAUAUUUUGUUCCAUAAAGAACAAUCACUAAACAGGCAAACAAAACUACAGGUUUGAAAAUAAAUGGAAGAAAAUCACUGGAUACAAUAUAAUUCCUAUCCCAGUAUUCUGAAACUGUGGCAUUGUCAACAAACUCCUUGUGGAAUUAUUGAUACAAGAUU